rnacentral:rRNA from 1 species
UACAGAGGGUGCAAGCGUUGUUCGGAAUUAUUGGGCGUAAAGGGUAGGUAGGUGGUCUCAUUUGUCUGGGGUGAAAGCCUUGAGCUUAACUCAAGAAGUGCCCCAGAAACGGUGAGACUAGAGUUCUGGAGAGGGUCGUGGAAUUCCCGGUGUAGCGGUGAAAUGCGUAGAGAUCGGGAGGAACACCAGAGGCGAAGGCGGCGACCUGGACAAGCACUGACACUCAACUACGAAAGCGUGGGGAGCAAACAGG